rnacentral:rRNA from 1 species
UACGUAGGGUGCAAGCGUUGUCCGGAAUUAUUGGGCGUAAAGAGCUCGUAGGCGGUCUGUCGCGUCGGCUGUGAAAACCCGGGGCUCAACCCCGGGCCUGCAGUCGAUACGGGCAGACUAGAGUGCGGUAGGGGAGACUGGAAUUCCCGGUGUAGCGGUGAAAUGCGCAGAUAUCGGGAGGAACACCGGUGGCGAAGGCGGUUCUCUGGGCCUUACCUGACGCUGAGGAGCGAAAGCGUGGGGAGCAAACAGG